UACGAAGGGUGCAAGCGUUACUCGGAAUUACUGGGCGUAAAGCGUGCGUAGGCGGUUUGUUAAGUCUGUCGUGAAAGCCCUGGGCCCAACCUGGGAAUUGCGAUGGAUACUGGCAAGCUAGAGUACGGUAGAGGAUGGUGGAAUUCCCGGUGUAGCGGUGAAAUGCGUAGAGAUCGGGAGGAACACCCGUGGCGAAGGCGGCCAUCUGGACCAGUACUGACGCUGAGGCACGAAAGCGUGGGGAGCAAACAGG
rnacentral:rRNA from 1 species